rnacentral:misc_RNA from 1 species
UUGUGGAGGAGGACGCCGAAGGUGGGGCUAAUGACUGGGGUGAAGUCGUAACAAGGUAGCCGUACCGGAAGGUGCGGCUGGAUCACCUCCUAACAGGGAGACAACAAAAUGUUUAAUAUUAUUAUUUUGUCACCUUAGGUCGAUCGGUAUCUCACAUCCUUAAAUUAAUUAAGGAUUUUAUUUCCUAAGUUUUUCUAGGUCACACCCAUUAUUUUUCCUGGGCCAUUAGCUCAGGUGGUUAGAGCGCACCCCUGAUAAGGGUGAGGUCCCUGGUUCAAGUCCAGGAUGGCCCAUAUCUCUAUGUUGGGGGUAUAGCUCAGUUGGUAGAGCGCCUGCUUUGCAAGCAGGAUGUCAGCGGUUCGAGUCCGCUUACCUCCACUGAUUACCACCUCUUCCAUAAUUUUUAAGGAAAUGUUUUGAGUUGUGAUCAAAUUCUGAGCGAAUCUAGCUUCCUAAUGAAAUCAUUAAGAUGCUGGACUCAUUGAAUUAAAUUCAUUGUUUUCAGAGAACCUUGACAACUGCAUAGAUUAUUUUUAAAGACAAUAAGCAUCUUUAAUGAUGCAGAUUUAUUAUUUGUGCGAAUGCAUUAAUAACAAUUCUAUUAAGCUGAUGCUUCAAUUUUUGAAGUUAUUGGUCAAGCUACAA